rnacentral:rRNA from 1 species
GUGGGGAAUUUUGGACAAUGGGCGCAAGCCUGAUCCAGCAAUGCCGCGUGCAGGAAGAAGGCCUUCGGGUUGUAAACUGCUUUUGUACGGAACGAAACGGUCCGGGUUAAUACCCUGGGCUAAUGACGGUACCGUAAGAAUAAGCACCGGCUAACUACGUGCCAGCAGCCGCGGUAAUACGUAGGGUGCAAGCGUUAAUCGGAAUUACUGGGCGUCAAGCGUGCGCAGGCGGUUUUGUAAGACAGGCGUGAAAUCCCCGGGCUCAACCUGGGAAUUGCGCUUGUGACUGCAAGGCUGGAGUGCGGCAGAGGGGGAUGGAAGUCCGCGUGUAGCAGUGAAAUGCGUAGAUAUGCGGAGGAACACCGAUGGCGAAGGCAAUCCCCUGGACCUGUACUGACGCUCAUGCACGAAAGCGUGGGGAGCAAACAGGAUUAGAUACCCGGGUAGUCC